rnacentral:rRNA from 1 species
CACGUAGGGCGCGAGCGUUGUCCGGAAUUAUUGGGCGUAAAGAGCUCGUAGGCGGCCUGUUGCGUCCGCUGUGAAAGCCCGGGGCUUAACCCCGGGUCGGCAGUGGAUACGGGCAGGCUAGAGGUAGGUAGGGGAGAAUGGAAUUCCCGGUGUAGCAGUGAAAUGCGUAGAGAUCGGGAGGAACAUCUGUGGCGAAGGCGACUACCUGGACCAGCACUGACACUGAGGCACGAAAGCGUGGGGAGCAAACAGG